UGCAGGGCAGAGCAGUUCCGGUCUGUGUCACGUCCUCUGUCUCAUCCAUGUUUUGUGUCCUUUGUCUCUUAAUUGUGUCACAUGGUGUGUGUUGUCACAGAUAAGCGGACACAGUGUACCCCAGACCGAGAUCAGUUGAAGCAGCCUGGUAAGAAGGUUGUAUUAUGUGUUGGAUGAAGGAUGUCAGUUUUAGCCAGAGGAGUCCUUUAUCUUGUGCCUUUUUGGUUUUUAUUUUCCAGAUGGGGCCCAAUCGGUCUCGAGGGGUAGUGGCUCAGCAGGGAGACGAGCGAGGCGAUACACAACCCUUUGCCCGUGUGCUGAAGGUGCCGAAGGUCCAUCCUAUAGGAGGUCAAGCUGAAGGAGC